UCCCUCAUGGUCCAGUGGUUAAGACUGUGCUUCCACUGCAGCAGGCCCAGGUUCAAUCCCUGGUGGGGGGA
rfam:Ovis aries breed Texel chromosome 1, whole genome shotgun sequence.